GCUGGAAUCGCUAGUAAUCGCGAAUCAGAAUGUCGCGGUGAAUACGUUCUCGGGCCUUGUACACACCGCCCGUCACACCAUGGGAGUCGGUAACACCCGAAGUCUGUAGCCUGACGCAAGAGGGCGCAGCCGAAGGUGGGAUUGAUGACUGGGGUGAAGUCGUAACAAGGUACC
rnacentral:rRNA from 1 species